UUCGGGCUGCCCUGUUGGUAGGUGGGGAGGUAAUCCUGGGCCUGGGAGAUCCAAGUUCCCCUCGGUAACUUCUGGACCUCAGAAUCCGAUAGCAUGGGCAAGAGGGUAGGGGUAGGAGUCUGAGCUGCAGGAACUCACUUACCUAACGUGCUUCUGGAAAAUACUGCUGGGGUCCUGGAGUAUCUAUCCCUCCCACUGGCAUACUCAGAGGAAACCACAGAUCCUUGUUCACAUCAGCCUUUUGGCCAGACAAGUCACAUGGCCCUGAGGCGGGUGCUGGAAAACGUGGAGGAGGGGUGGCUUUGGUCGCUGGACACACAUCUCUGCCACGGUGACUGACGGAGGCUGUGAAAGGACAAUCUGAGUGAAGAAGUGAAUGAGGUGCUGAUUCCACAGGGACUUCCUGAGAAGGGCGGAGUGGCUCCCAGCGGACGGGAAUUAGAGACCGCCUGAGAACAGGAAACCUACCUCCUCUAUUUCUGGGUUCCCAGUGUCCUGCCCAGAGCCCAUCAUGUGGCAGAAGCUCAGGACACAAAUGUCAGGGGCAGAAGACUAAGUCCUUGCUCUGGGCAGGGGUCAGGACGUGUGCAGCUCCUUGGCCCCAGAAUUGUUUCCCUCCUGCCUCACUCCCUGGUGUAGAAUUUGGCCCAGACGCUCCCUGCCAUGUGACUUGGCAGGAGCUCCCUCUAGAGGAGGGGUAGUGAUAUAGCUGUAAAUCUCACGUUGAGGCUGGGCGCGUUGGCUCAAGCCUGUAAUCCCAGCACUUUGGGAGGCUGAGGCAGGCGGAUCACCUGAAGCCAGGAGUUCGAGACCAGCCUGCCCAACAUGGUGAAACCCUGUCUGUACUAAAAAUAUUAAAAAAAUUAGCUGGGCAUGGUGGUGCAUGCCUGUAAUCCCAGCUACUUGGGAGGCUGAGGCAGGAGAAUCGCUUGAACCCAGGAAGCAGAGGUUGCAGUGAGCUGAGAUCGUGCCACUGCACUCCAGCCUGGGCAACAGAGCGAGACUCCAUUAAAAAAAAAAAAAAACCUCAUGUUGAAAUGUGAUCCCCAAUGCUGGCGGUGGGGCCUGGUGGGAGGUGUUUGGAUCAUGGGGUGGAUUUCUCAUGAAUGGUUUAGCACCAUCCUCUUGGUGCCGUUCUUGAGACAGUGAGUGAACUCUCUCGAGAUCUUGUUUAAAAGAGUGUGGCACCUCCCUCCAUGUCUCUUGCUCCCACUCUUGCCAUGUGAGAUGCCUGCUCCCCCUUCACUUCAGUCACAAUUGUAAACUUCCUGAGGCCUUCACCAGAAGCUAAUGCUGGCACUAUGCUUCUUGUACAGCUUAGAGAACCAUGAGCCAAUUAAACUUCUUUUCUUUAUAAAU
rnacentral:lncRNA from 10 species